rnacentral:tmRNA from 1 species
GGGGGAAAAUUGGAUUCGACGGGUAUAAAAUAUUAAAUCUGCAUAUUAAAGGUUAAGCUCCUUGAAAAACUGCUUAAAAAAUAAACGCCAAAGAAAAACCACUUUAUGUUGAAGACCUUCUUGAAUUAUGGGGUCUCGACAAAGAACUAGAGGAAUCUCUGGUUUAGAAAUGUCUUUCUGUUCUUAAUCUUUGGAGAACAGAUAAGAUAUCAUAAAAUCAAAGAUAGUUUUAUUUCUGGCAAGGCAGAAAUAAAACGAAUUUAUUCCUUGAUAGUUUAUUUCCUAUUUUGUCUAUUUUAGGGGAAUAAAUGACUUUUAAAAUAGACUAUAUAUGUAGAAUGAUUUAAUAUUUUAUGCCACGGACGCCGGAUCGUUACCGGCUUCCUCCAUAU